rnacentral:lncRNA from 1 species
AGAUUAGAGAAAUGAAGCCUGCACAAACCCAGGGAGGUUUUCAGCAGACACGAGGGAUGGCAGCAAUCAUUCACCAGAAAGUCUCACAUAGGAGAUUUUCAUUGAUAGUGCAAACUUAAUUUGUAUAUCUAAAGAUGAAGUACCUUCCUUUUCCGGUAAAAGUCAUUUCCUUUGUCAGGGGACGUUUUUAUUGGCCUCAGAACCUCCUAAAAGAUUCCUAUAGCUUAUCUUCCUUCCAUUUCUAAGACUAGAGAGGAAUUUCUAAGAUGAAAUAGGGAAGUUAGGUUUAGCCAUGAGCUGAAGUCACAUAAAUAAUCUGCAAAUGUACUCAUCACAAGGAAAAGACUUUAAUGAUCCUUUCAUAAUCUUUUUCAAAGGAAAAAAAAAAAGGAUAACCCUCAGCUUUAUUCUGACAUUUUCCCUCGAUGAUGCCAAUCAAGGCAUUUAUUGGUUAGUAUAACCAGAAGACUGUACUCAUGAAUAUUUUGACAUUUAAAGAAGGAUAAUAAAGGAACAGACAUAUAAGCUUGCCUGCCAAAGGAUAUAGUGAUAUGCUGCAUAACAGCCACCUUGGCAAUAAUGUGUUCCUCCACUAUAAGGGAGAAAAAUGAAGAGGCCCAGAGAAAACAAUGAAAGAAUUUGAAAGCAUUUUCCCAGAGUUGACGCCAAGAGAGCUAUAUUCCAAAACUUGGACCCAUGCUGACUCAUUGCCUAACUGUAAGGAAGUCAUUUUAUCUUUUUAUACUUUUAUAUCUGACUCUUUGUACAAUGGCUGUAUGUUUUAUCUUCUUUUCAAGUCAAAUGUAAUGUCAAAAAAUAAACCACAGAAUUGAAUUUUUUUUUUUUUUUAGCAAACAUGCACCAUAGUUCUAAAAAUUGUUUCCUUCAGAUCCUUAGGGAAAGAAUAGAAUAUUUUAAUAUUAAUCUUUAAAUUCAAAGAAUUAUUUUCCUAAACCAUUUCUUUGUCUUGUGUUUUCUCUGAGUUGCAUUCUCACAGUCUGGCUGCUUCUGUUCUCAUUUGAGCUUUUGUUGACAGGCUUCAAAAACAGCAUUUAUUUAGCUCCUUUGGCCAAUGCAGUGAGUUAUUUAACUCUUUAACCACUGCCAGUCUAAUCCAUGUAACUACAGGGUGGCUGCCUCGCCACUCCUUGGGUUACCCCGGACCCUCUGUCUUCUUAUAAUCUGAGUCUAUUUUUCUUUCCAAUUCCCACCAAGCCAGGUUCUCAUUCAGACUGUGAGUUCUGCUAAGGUUAGGAGCUGCUGUCAGCUCCAAUUAGAUUCUAUUCCUCACUACAAGCCUACUGUGGAAUGUACUCCCUUAAUAAAAUUUAGUCUGAAAUAGACUGUGCUAAAGGU